CCUACGGGAGACUGCAGUGAGGAAUAUUGGUCAAUGGACGAGAGUCUGAACCAGCCAAGUAGCGUGAAGGAUGACUGCCCUAUGGGUUGUAAACUUCUUUUAUAUGGGAAUAAAACGUUCCACGUGUGGGAUUUUGUAUGUACCAUAUGAAAAAGGAUCGGCUAACUCCGUGCCAGCAGCCGCGGUAAUACGGAGGAUCCGAGCGUUAUCCGGAUUUAUUGGGUUUAAAGGGAGCGUAGGUGGAUUGUUAAGUCAGUUGUGAAAGUUUGCGGCUCAACCGUAAAAUUGCAGUUGAAACUGGCAGUCUUGAGUACAGUAGAGGUGGGCGGAAUUCGUGGUGGAGCGGUGAAAUGGUUAGAUAACACGAAGAACUCCGAUUGCGAAGGCAGUUCACUGGACUGCAAAUGACACUGAGGCUCGAAAGUGUGGGUAUCAAACAGGAAUAGAUACCCUUGUAGUC
rnacentral:rRNA from 1 species